AAAUAUCCUCUCCACUUCAUUCUCUUUUCAUUUCUUUUCUUUUUUUCUCUACAAGCCUAGGGUGGCUGAAGUUGGUGAAGAGGGUUUGUGUGGAGUUCGGUUUUCUUAGUGAUUUCAGCUGAGAGGAAGGUCCAGGAGCUGAGAACAGCUCGUGGGAAGCUUCCAAGUUGAGGAUUGGGAGCCUAGCUUGGAAUUGAUCACAUAUAAACUUAAUUGAGGGUAAAACCGACUUGUUGGGAAGCUCGGAUCGGUGUUUCUACGAGCCUACGGCAAGCUAUUGAGGAAAAACCUUAUUUUAGCUUCGUUUGUCGCAAGCGAGAAUUGCGAUUGUUCCUAAAUCCCGGAAAGUGGAUUUCUCGCAUCCCGGUAUCAAUUAAAGGUUCCCACGUGAGCGGAGCGGCGGCGCGAGGAAAGGGCGUAGUUCCGUAGAUAGCGCCCUACCACCGAGACCAGAGAUAGCGGUACCCUAAAGUGGUCUAGCUAAGGGUAUAAAAUGAAAGAAACAAACUUAUAAUAAUUUGUAUAACUUAGUGGUACUUGAAAAAUGUAAUAUUGUAAUAUGUAUAAGUUGUAAGAUGAAUGCUUGUAAUAGCAUCGUUUAGCAUUUUAUGUUUUUGAUA